UAAAUUCAGAAUUCUGAGGAGAAAACUUCAAGACUGUGCCAUUUUGGUAGAAAAGCACAUUGUACACCAGCUUAUUAUUCCAUCCAUGACACCUCAAAGUCAGAGGUUCCCCUUCCGUGAAGACUCUGCCAGAGACCUGGAGUAUUAGCCAGUCUGGAAAAUAUAUACCCAAAAUCUGACUGGACUGAGAGUCUCCCACUGGCCCUGAAGAAGUAAGCCACUAUGUUGGGAGAGGGCCAUCUGGCAAAGGCCUGCCUGGAGGAGCUGAGAUUACUUCCAACUGACAGCCAGCUAAAAGGUGGGGACCUCAGGCUUAUAACAUAAAGAACUGAAUUCUAAAUUCUGCCAACGACCAUGUGAGCUUGGAAGAUCUGCAGGAAGGAACACAACUCAGUCAAUACCCUGACUGCAGCCCCUGCAGAGCACCCAGCUAAGCUGUGCUGAGACUCCUGACCCAUGGAAAGAUAAUAAAUAUACAUUGUUUUAAA